rnacentral:lncRNA from 1 species
GGACGGCUGCAAGGCCCCGGCGUCUCAUUCCCUCCUUCUGUUUCCUUUGGAGCAUGAGUCCCCUACCUUUUCAGCCCCCAACAAGCCCCGCGUCCCCCCCUCUACGUCACAAGGCCAGGCCCCCUUCUGAGGACAGUGCCCCGAAGAGUUGAUUCCCCCGGCACCUCCCGCUCCCUCUCAAAGCACCGCCUGUUCUGCGGGUCUGCCCCCAGGCGGGCAUAAACACCCCCAGCGAGGAAUGGCCCCAGGCAGCACUGGAGCCCUCCGCUCCCUCCACCACCGGGUCUGUCCCAGCUAGAGGGAGGGGAGAGGGAGAGGGGGCUUCCCUCUGGCUCAGAAUCGUCCACCCUGAGUAAUUAGCUGCCAAAUAAAACGCAAACUCGCCAAAGGAGAUCAGAGGUCCCCCCACAGCUUCUCCAAACUCCUCCUGCCCCAGAGGCUGCUGGGAGGGCCAGAAACCCCAGGAGGCCAGAAAGCCACCUGCUGGGGCACAGGGUCUCUUUUCAGAUCGGAAGCUAAAACCCUCCUUUCAAGCCCUCCCCUGUCAGGCCUGCCGAGCCAGCCCACACCUUCUCUCUCAGGGCUGGCACUCUGGCCCCUCGCCCACCCGCUCCUCAGCCUAGGAAUGGAAAAUGGGUUUGGCAGACACCACUGGUCGCCUGCCGGUGUCCCUUUUCCUCUUGUCUGAUACUGUUCAGGCUGACUCUUGGUGGCCCCAUGGCCCAUGCCCCUGAUUUGUUUAGGGGGAGUGGGAAGUGCGGUCCAGCACAGCCAAGGACACAGGAAGGGAGGAGCAAGGAAGUUAGCAACAGAAGGAGAGAAGGAGAACAGAAGGCAUGCUGGGCAAAUCUUUCAGUCUCUCCCUGCCUCAACCUCCCCACCUGUAACAUGGGAAAUACAAGGUCCCUCUCCCAGAGCUGUUGGUGAGAUCAUGGAUGUGAAUGCAUUUGGGGAGUCUGAGCAUAGACUGCUGGUUGUCCCCCAAUAUCCAUUCUCCCCUCCUCUCACCUUUAAUAAGGCCCAUGGCUGCCUGGAAUCGAGACUCUCUUCCCAGCCUCCCUGGGGGCCAUUUUAGCCACGUGACUCAAUUCUGACUGUGAGCUGUAAGCACAAGUAAAGGACCCCCGGGGCUCCCCUUCCACCACCUGGGGAGACAGAGUGCCACAGCGCGCCAGUGGCCACAUAGUGGCCAUCUGUGUUCCGGCAGCCCUGCACCUGUGCACCCUUCUCAGCACCAACACCACCCAACUUUCCCCUGGGAAUCCCCACCCUCCCUUCAGCCCAGGGCUUCAAAGGCAGCUGACUCCACCCCAGGUCCAGGGACACCACGUGCCUCAGACCUGGCCAAAGUGCCUGUAUUCCCCCAGCCAUUCUGAUUGGUCGGGGAGACCAUGUGAUCCAGGGAGACCCAGUGCCGAGUCUGUCAGAGGAGAGCAGACUUUCUUUUCCAUGAAUUGAACCUGGGAGGAUGUAACCCUGAGGCUGCUCAAAGCCGUUUUGCUACCAGAUGGAGCCUCAGGAUGAAGCAGAAACGGGAAGAGCCAAGAGACAGGCCUCCCGGUCCCAGCUGGAUCCUGUCCUGAGGCUCAUUGCCCCUCACGUUUAUAGAUAUCAGUACAUUUCUUCUCCCGUCACCACCCAGAACUCCUUGCUUGUGCACAUUCUGGUCUCUCGAACUAGGACACCAUUUCUUCCCCAGCUGGGAAGGUCUCCCCCUCCAGCGUCUUAAGGCCAGCUUACACCGCCCCUCCCCUGAGGAGGCCGCUCUCAUCCUCUGCCCUGGUUGAGCAUAGGACACCUGCAACAAACCAUUUCCACGUCUGCUCCACCGCCAGCAUAGGAGUUUCUCAAGGAUAAGACCUGCGUCUCCUUUAACUCUGUGUCUAGCACCCAGCAUCCAGUAGGCACUCACUACAUGUUAGUUGAAUAAAUAAAUGAAUGACUGCAGAGGAGCAAGCUAAUCGUUCAUCAAGUUUAUGGAUGACAUGAAAUUGGGAGCGGUUUCUAGCCAGAGGUUGGAAUCGUAAAGCAGAUUGGCUUUUGCAAAUGAGAAUAUGACAAGGCUGAAUCGGAACCGGAUGACGUUCAUUAAGUAACUAGUUUGAAGAAGUCGCUGCAAGUCUGAGAGCUGGGGUGUGAUGGUUUCUGCGCAUAUUCUAAGGCAAGCUGUGGGUGGCAGACUGGAUGGAGCAAAGAAGCUGGCCAUCAAGGGCUGGUCUCCCCUUUGAGGUCAGUUUGUGGGCUUGUGACAAACAAGACCCAGGAAAGUCCUUCUGUCUCCAGAAAGGCGCUUCUAGCACUGUAUUUGGGGAGAUGCAGGGAAGCAAGAAAAAACAUUUAAAAUAGUGAAAGGAAAGACAAAUUGGAUUUCUGAAGUCGCGUUACAGAGACUGGGGUUGCUGCAUCUGGAAGGAAAAGAGAGAGAAAACCGUUUCCCAACUGUGCUUUAAUGAGCGGCAGCUCCCCAGAGUGAGACGGUGCCCCAGAGGGGAGGGACGGGCGAGGAGACUGUGGCAGUCCGCCCUGCCCCCACCGCAGCCUCGGGAGUUGCCGCCACCCCUGCUGUUUACGCUUUUAUCGUUUGCAAUGAAGGACGAUGAUGUGUGUGUGCGCUGUAUUGAUUGUGCCUCUUAGAUUUUUAUGUCACUGUGGAAAGCAGCAAUUAUGCUUGCCAGCUCUGGAGGGAGCAAACGGCCCUGGCGGGGGAGGACGGCGCAGGGCCGGGAGAGCUCACGAGGCAGCCGGAGGGGUCCAGCUCGGGGGCUGGGGGCACGAGGCAGGUAGCACAGGGGCACGGGCUGAUUGAGACUGAGAAAGGACGGGAGUCCCACUAAGGGGAUGCACCAUCCACCCUAGGCUAUAGACAUUUAUUAAGUACCUAUGGUGUGCCAGCAACUCAAGUCAUUGUCCCACACUCCUCUGAGAGCCCUCCAGUGGCUUCUCUUUUGCAUUUACAAUAAAUCCAUCCUGCUUACCAAGACUGACCCCAGCACACCCCUCCAGAAUCACCUCCAUCCUCUCCUUUCCUCAAUCCCAGCUGUCCAGCCAUCUGGCCUUCUUCCUGGUCUGCCCACUCACCGAGCUUGGCCCUGCCUCAAGGCCUUUGCCCUUGCUAUUCCCUCUGCCCGGAAUGCUAUUCCCCACACUCACCCAUGUCAUUUUCUUCCCAUUCAAGUCUCAGCUCAGGUAUCACUUCCCCACAGAGUCCCGUCAUGAGGAUCCCAGGACAUGUUCACACCAGUCCCUCUGUCACACUGCCUUCUUUUCUUUUCUUCAUGGCACUUUUCAUGCUCAGAUAUAUUCUUGUCUUUUUAUGGGUUCAGUGUCUGUCUCUCCCACCAAAAUGUAAAUGCAAAAAGACGAGGGAGCUUAUCUCUUCUUGACCACUGUGCCGCCAGCACCUAGAGGAGUUCUUGGCACAUGACAUGAGUGUAAUGAAUGUCGAUAAAUAUUGUUAGCUCCAGUUACCAGUAGAGGAAAAUGAGGCUUAGAGAGUUUAUUAAUUAGGACUGUGUUUGACUGUAAGUAACAGAAUAUCCAACAAAUACGCAGAGGUGGGUAAUUGCUGACACUGGUCCAGUUGCUCAGUGAUGUCCUCAUAGGCUGUGGAACUUCCUGUCUUCUGCCCGGUUCUUCUUAGGCCAUUACUCUUAGCUUGCCCCUCAUGGUCACAAAGUAGCUGCUGCUGCUCCUAACAUAAUUUGGCAUUCAAAGUAGGAAAGAGAGGAGAAGGCAAAAUUCUGAUCCAGCCAAGUACAUCUUCCUGUUUAUUGCACCUUUUCCGUUUCCUGAAUGCCCCUCAGUAGGAUUCUCCUUCCAGCUCAUUGGCCUGAUCUGUGUCACUUGCUGCAAGAGAUAUUGGGAAACUGAGCUUUCUGGGGUCCAUAAUAGAGGAAGGCAAAGGAGAGGUGGGUUGGACAGGAGUGUUAAGUGAGCUAGCCUCAGUGAUGGCCACAGAGAGGUGAGGAGAAUUGCUCAUGGCCACCACUACAAACAGCAGCACCGGGAUUUGAGCCCACAUCUGUCUGACCACAGAGUCCACACCCUAUUUGUCACACUCUUGUGCUUCCCUCCUGGCAUCUGGGUCAGAGAGUAAAGGCACGAGAGCAGAUUCCAGAAGUGCCAUCAGGUCUUUAGCCUAGCAC